ACAGAUAGUAGUGGAGCUAUAUAGAAUAGAUAUUAGUUUGUUUCUAUAAGAUAUUGGUAAAAUAGACUAAUAGUCCAUAGAAUAAUCAGUUCAAGAGGACAGAUGGUUAACUUAGUUAUUAAAAGUGAUUAAUUACAACAUUAUGAUUAGAAUCUGGGAAUAGGGAGUAAGUAUAUAGGAGUUGUAGAAGUUAGUGUGAGUGUUAGACUGUGAUAGUUAUGAGCUGGGGUUAAGUUUGAUACUACCUCUUUGUUUCUUUGUUGUUGAAAAGUAAUGGAUAGUUUUUGAAUAUUGAGAAGUGAGUCUGUAGAAUAAAUCAAAGAUUGAUUUAUGAGUUAUUGAUUAUGUAAUUGGAGCACUGAGUGAUUGAAUUAUAUGAGGAGUUAUUGAAAGAUUAUGAUUGUUGUUUAUUGAGAGUUGUAUGUGUUUCGAGAGAGGAAGUUUGUGAUUAGAAAAAUUAUGUGAAUCCAAAUUGAUUGGAGUGAAGUUUGUUAGUUCUGGUGUUGGAUGGAAAUUAUGUGUUUUGAGCGGUCUUUUGAGAGUGCAGGAUUGCACACUAUUAUUAUCAGUUGAUGAAGGAAUAUUGUUACUAGGAAAAAGUAU
rnacentral:lncRNA from 1 species